UAGCUAGUUGGUGAGGUAACGGCUUACCAAGGCGACGAUCUGUAGCGGGUCUGAGAGGAUGAUCCGCCACACUGGAACUGAGACACGGUCCAGACUCCUACGGGAGGCAGCAGUGGGGAAUUUUGGACAAUGGGGGCAACCCUGAUCCAGUCAUGCCGCGUGAGUGAAGAAGGCCUUCGGGUUGUAAAGCUCUUUCGGCCGGGAAGAAAUCGCAUGGGCCAAUACCCUGUGUGGAUGACGGUACCGGAAUAAGAAGCACCGGCUAACUACGUGCCAGCAGCCGCGGUAAUACGUAGGGUGCGAGCGUUAAUCGGAAUUACUGGGCGUAAAGCGUGCGCAGGCGGUUUUGUAAGACAGGCGUGAAAUCCCCGGGCUCAACCUGGGAACUGCGUUUGUGACUGCAAGGCUAGAGUACGGCAGAGGGGGUGGAAUUCCACGUGUAGCAGUGAAAUGCGUAGAGAUGUGGAGGAACACCAAUGGCGAAGGCAGCCCCCUGGGUCGAUACUGACGCUCAUGCACGAAAGCGUGGGUAGCAAACAGGAUUAGAUACCCUGGUAGUCCACGCCCUAAACUAUGUCAACUAGGUGUUGGGUGGGUAAAACCAUUUAGUACCGUAGCUAACGCGUGAAGUUGACCGCCUGGGGAGUACGGCCGCAAGGUUAAAACUCAAAGGAAUUGACGGGGACCCGCACAGGCGGUGGAUGAUGUGGAUUAAUUCGAUGCAACGCGAAAAACCUUACCUACCCUUGACAUGCCAGGAACUUGCCAGAGAUGGCUUGGUGCCCGAAAGGGAGCCUGGACACAGGUGCUGCAUGGCUGUCGUCAGCUCGUGUCGUGAGAUGUUGGGUUAAGUCCCGCAACGAGCGCAACCCUUGUCGUUAAUUGCCAUCAUUUAGUUGGGCACUUUAGCGAGACUGCCGGUGACAAACCGGAGGAAGGUGGGGAUGACGUCAAGUCCUCAUGGCCCUUAUGGGUAGGGCUUCACACGUCAUACAAUGGUCGGUACAGAGGGUCGCCAAGCCGCGAGGUGGAGCCAAUCCCAGAAAGCCGAUCGUAGUCCGGAUUGCAGGCUGCAACUCGCCUGCAUGAAGUCGGAAUCGCUAGUAAUCGUGGAUCAGCAUGUCACGGUGAAUACGUUCCCGGGUCUUGUACACACCGCCCGUCACACCAUGGGAGCGGGUUCCGCCAGAAGUAGGUAGCCUAACCGCAAGGAGGGCGCUUACCACGGCGGGGUUCGUGACUGGGGUGAAGUCGUAACAAGGUAGCCGUAGGGGAACCUGCGGCUG
rnacentral:rRNA from 1 species